ACCUGCGGAAGGAUCAUUGCCGUUGCCUUUCCGAAAACACGACCGUCGAACACGUGACAGAAUGCUGCCGCGGAGGCGCUUGCCGCCUCCUCGGCCCCACCGGCCUCAUCCCUCUCGCCCGACGGGCGCGUUGGUUGCUGGUCGGAAUACGGCGCGGGAUGACGCCAAGGAACACGAGAAAAGCUAAGGAACCGGCGAGCCGCACAAGGGCUCUGCCGGUUGCCAAGGCCAACAAAAAAAAAUAUGACUCUCGGCAACGGAUAUCUCGGCUCUCGCAUCGAUGAAGAACGUAGCGAAAUGCGAUACGUGGUGUGAAUUGCAGAAUCCCGUGAACCAUCGAGUCUUUGAACGCAAGUUGCGCCCAAGGGACCCUCCCGAGGGCACGCCUGCCUCAUGGGCGUUAGAAGCCCAUCCACGCUCGGUUGCCUAACUAACUAACGGCGAAAGAUGCGGAUACUGGCCCUCCGAGCCGCGAGGCGCGGUGGGCCUAAGUGUGCGGCCGUCGUACGUGGCCGGGAGCGGCGAGUGGUGGGCUACUGCGCACGUCACCCCGAGCCCCGUACCGACGCAGGGCCUUGUUUGAACCCCUAACGAGGAGCUUGCCGUUGCGGCUUCUGCUGCGCGGCGCCUUCGGACCGAUACCCCAGGUCAGGCGGGGCUACCCGCCGAGUUUAAGCAUAUCAAUA
rnacentral:sRNA from 1 species